UGGUGAUGAGGAGAAAUGAAUAUCUUGAUGUACACUGAUGGCAUUAUACGCUAUUCUGAACCACAA